UUUGGACUGCAUGCUUUCAUUUCUUACAGAUUACAUUCUGAGGGAAGUAAAAAAUGCAGAAUAUCUUGCUAUUCAGGCAGAUGAGACAACUGACAUUUCCACCCACUGCCAGUUGGUGCUCGUGCUAAAGUACAUCAACAAGGAGAACAACAGCUGUUGGCUACAGAGAGCCCUGGUGUCCUGCAGUUACUGAAACUGACUGGAUAAAAUAUUUUUCACCAGCUGCCACUGGUUUCAAGUGGUGUUGAGUUAACCAACAUUUAAAAUUGGCAGGUGGAUUGCAAAUUCCACCCACUACUCAAGCAAAUACAAAAUC